AUACGGAGGGUGCGAGCGUUAAUCGGAAUUACUGGGCGUAAAGCGCGCGUAGGUGGCUUUGUUAGUCGGAUGUGAAAGCCCUGGGCUUAACCUGGGAAUUGCAUUCGAUACUGCAUGGCUCGAGUAUAGUAGAGGGUAGUGGAAUUCCUGGUGUAGCGGUGAAAUGCGUAGAUAUCAGGAGGAACAUCAGUGGCGAAGGCGGCUACCUGGACUAAUACUGACACUGAGGUGCGAAAGCGUGGGGAGCAAACAGGAUUAGAAACCCUGGUAGUCC
rnacentral:rRNA from 1 species